rnacentral:lncRNA from 1 species
AAUAAGCCGGUUACUGUUAUAGUUCCUCAGCGUUCGUAAAAUAACAACAGCGACAAUGAAGAUAGAUAUGCAGAUAGAUAAGUAAAGGACAAACCAGACUAGUGAUGAAUAAAGAAGGCAGUUAUUGUUCAGUGAAAGGGGAAGGAGUUCAGAGGGGUUUCAACAUGGCGGACUGUCAGAGGCUCUGUACUCCAGCUCUCACAAUGAGAAUAAACACGUUGAUCACAUGUAAUUCUUGUAUUUCUAAAAUAUGAUCUCUGCUUGUUCAAGUUAUUACACAUCAUAAUAAGGAGCAGCAGGAUGGCUUCUAAGACCAGUUAACUAGCUUCUCGUUUUGGCAUCAACUGCCAAGAUGGCGUCUUGUGCUGUCGGCUUCUGCAGAGAGGAAUGGACGUCUGUAAGGACUGAAACCUCUGUAUACACCUGUCUCUAGAAAGGGUUUAUCAAAACCGUCUUGAACUGCAAGAUAAAAUAACAAAGGGACAAACUAAACUAGAGACCAGAGGGAAAUUCCAACAAGCGAGAGAACUCGAGAGUGGCUAGGUGGGUGUAGUGAGGAGGGAACUUUCAAGCCAGAUGUGAGUCAGGAUGGAGGAAGAAGAUGAGGAUGGGCUCGCAAUAAAUCCGGCUUGGCCUCGCAUGUAGGUACACUUUAGUCCCGAGCUGCCAUGGAGCCAGUGAGCUCUGCCAUUGCCCUGUAGAUGGCGCCUCAUUCCUUUUCACUUCCGCCUCGUGUCGCCGGCGUCAUAGUGAAAGCAGUGAGUACCUUUGACCUUCUCAACAUGGCGACAUUGCUUUUGUUUUUGUGUCUGCGGACGCGCGAAGGUCUACUCGGAAUACCCUGUUGGAAUUCUUGGUAAGGAGAGGAAAAAACUUGAGGACAGACGACACCAGUGACGUGAAAUGGCGGGAAGAGAGAUGCUCUGUCUCAGCGUGGAAACGAGGCUCUGUGUUUGUACUAGAGAGAUGCGCGCGCGUGUGUGUGUUUCUUCCUCCAACGGCAAGCCUCAUCUCCGCAUCCCUAGCAGCCUUCACCUUUCUCCCUCCCCACCAUCAUCCCCGUCACCCGCCGCCUCCCCUCCCCUCUCCUCCCUCCACCCCAGUCUGCCGAUGUCUGUGACCAUUGCUGAUCUCAUCGAAAACGGCGACGGCCUCAGCGCGCGUGCGCAGUGCAGCGCCGCUGCGAGAUCAAAGGCGUGUGCCGGCCUGAGAGGAUCCCGUCUGGAAAGAGAGAGAAAGAGAAAAAAAAAGGAAAGAAAGAAAAAAGUGGUAGUUUCACGGCCGCGUAGAUGGCGCCGUGUGUACUGUGACGUGGCUGACAGCACGUGCUUGUGGCGAGUGAAACGAGGGAAGUGAAACCAGCGUCCAGCGAGUUGUUUACUUUGUGGCCAGCAAAAAAAAAAAAACGUUAAAAAGGAGGAAAAACAAACUUCUCAGAUUCGCUUUUAAAGGUCUUCACGUGCUGGCGAAAAGAAAAAAAAAACAGCAACAAAAACACUGGUGUUUUCCGUUGAUAGGAGUGAGGUUUAAAGGGACGUAAACGCCUCGAUGUCUGUCACGUGUGAUUGGGGUGGGGGAGGGGAGUGUGAAGGAAGGAGGGGUGAUACAGAGUGACAAUCAUGUGACAGUGUGGCAUGAUCAGGGGCUGUGCCAAGCAGCACGCGCGCGCGUGCGCCAAAUGAAGAAGGUGAUGAAGACUUAGUGAGAGAGCAUCCUCAUCGUAAUCAUCAUCUGUCAGACACUUGCCUCUUCCUGCUGCAGUGUCGGCGUCGGUGACCUUACGUCUCGCGCCACGCGACCUGGCAAGUGUCAGCGUGACCUGCCAGUGGGUGACACAGCGCACAACAUGACAUGACAAAGUUCGAACUAGGAGAAAGGGGAGUUGGGGAGACAACGAAGAGUCUACAAACAACAACUGAUUGAAUAAAGAAAGGAACGGUGGAGACUCAGGAAAAAAAAAUAAAAUCUGUGAUACUUGAAGGAAAGAAGGGGGAAGCAACAACAAACAACAAGCCUUCAGUGAGAGGGAGAGACGGCGGCAACUGCACGCGCCAAAGAGGAAGAGUUGUUAAAAGUUGUGAAUUAACCUCUGUUGCGGAGAUUUAAAAAAAACUUCCUCCCACUCAAGCUGGGGAGGGAUGGGGAAGGUUCCUAUCCCUCUGGCACUCACUCUCUCUUGGCCGAGAGUUGCUGGCAUCGCGCGUGGACCCGGAGGCUGACAAAAGCUCGGCGAUGAGAGAGAUGUGUGCAGGUUGUGGUGCGGCAGGCUGGUGACACCACGUGCUCGGUGCCAGCCGUGCGUGACGGGUGUGUUUACCAUGUGACCAGGCUCGCUGGGGGAAAGCCCCGAUGUGUGGGUGGCAGCUCGGGUAGCGUGAAGGCCAACGGGUGCCCGGCUAGCAGCUGCGCCGAGCCUGGGAGGAGAUGUUGCAGGUUGAUGAUGCUUUUGCACCGAGUCAACUGUUUCGGGAGGAUACGGAUUUACCACCGGCUGUACCCCCGCUACCCUUUCAAGCAGAAGUUUUAUUCUGAGGAGGGAGUUAAUACGACAAUGGAGUCAGCGUGUAUCCAGAUGUAUGUAUGUGUGUCUGUCCGUUUGUCAGUCUGUACUCGGAAGUUCUACGUCUGAAGGGGAGAACUCCUCGUCCUGCGUGUGUGUGUGUGCACCGCUCAACAUCCGUGUCCCGCCCACACCGAGCAUCGAAUCACAGGCUCCAACUACGGAGGGCCGAGCUCACCGUCCUCCAGACACAACGCACCUGCACGACCCUCGCCGUAAACGUACCACCGCUGCCACAGCACUUGCAGCAGCAGCAGUAGCCGCAGCAGCAGCAGCAGCAGCACGCGCCAUCACGCAGUGUGCACACACACACACGUGUCCGCCCAGUACACCACACACCUCUCCUCUCCCUCCCUACUACCCACCCCAACCAUCAUGCUGCUGCACCCUCCCACCCCGUGUCGUCUGCUCGACGCAAGCACACCCAGGCGCCGGCGGCGGACCCCCCGAGCGUCGCAAGACUGGCAACUUACGUCACCCCCUCCUCGUCUACCUCCUCAUCCCCCAUCAUCAUCACCACCACCAGCAGAGUAACGUCUGGGGCCAGACUCCAAGACCAUCGUGUGGCCAAAUUACCACAGCCUCUCUCAUCAGGCGGAUUAUCUGCAUCCUCCGACAGCAUGUGCGAUUCCUCCUGUCUUCUCAUGUGUGAAACAGUCUGGGAUUAUAUUCUUUGGCAGAAGACCACACACGCCCCGACCUGAGGAGAUUGAAAAGCUCAACCGGCGCAGAGAGCAAAACAGACGAGCGGCACAGAAGUUCCGACGGAAAAAGAAGGAAAGAGGAAAGCUUCUGAUUGAGGAGUCGCAACGACUGGAGUGCGAC